rnacentral:rRNA from 1 species
AUUGAACGCUGGCGGCAUGCUUUACUCAUGCAAGUCGAACGGCAGCGCGGGCUUCGGCCUGGCGGCGAGUGGCGAACGGGUGAGUAAUGCAUCGGAACGUGCCCAGUAGUGGGGGAUAGCCCGGCGAAAGCCGGAUUAAUACCGCAUACGACCUGAGGGUGAAAGCGGGGGACCGAAAGGCCUCGCGCUAUUGGAGCGGCCGAUGUCGGAUUAGCUAGUUGGUGGGGUAAAGGCUUACCAAGGCGACGAUCCGUAGCUGGUCUGAGAGGACGACCAGCCACACUGGGACUGAGACACGGCCCAGACUCCUACGGGAGGCAGCAGUGGGGAAUUUUGGACAAUGGGGGCAACCCUGAUCCAGCCAUGCCGCGUGCGGGAAGAAGGCCUUCGGGUUGUAAACCGCUUUUGUUCGGGAAGAAAUCCUCUGAGCUAAUACCCCGGGGGGAUGACGGUACCGGAAGAAUAAGCACCGGCUAACUACGUG